rnacentral:rRNA from 1 species
CGGCUUGAACAGCGAGUGACCAACUCCGAAAGGGGUCUUCCGCAAGGACACUCGUAGAGGUGCUGCAUGGCUGUCGUCAGCUCGUGUCGUGAGAUGUUGGGUUAAGUCCCGCAACGAGCGCAACCCUUGUUUGCUGUUGCCAUCACGUUAUGGUGGGCACUCUGCAAAGACUGCCGGUGAUAAACCGGAGGAAGGUGGGGAUGACGUCAAGUCAGCAUGGCCUUUAUGUCUGGGGCUACACACGUGCUACAAUGGCCAAUACAAACCGUCGCGAUACCGUAAGGUGGAGCUAAUCGGAGAAAGUCGGUCUCAGUUCGGAUCGUAGGCUGCAACUCGCCUGCGUGAAGUUGGAAUCGCUAGUAAUCGCGGAUCAGCACGCCGCGGUGAAUACGUUCCCGGGCCUUGUACACACCGCCCGUCACAUCACGAAAGCCGGUUGUACUAGAAGUCGCCACACUAACCCGCAAGGGAGGGAGGCGCCUAAGGUAUGGUCGGUGAUUGGGGUGAAGUCGUAACAAGGUAGGCGUAGCGAG